rnacentral:rRNA from 1 species
AUUGAACGCUGGCGGCAGGCUUAACACAUGCAAGUCGAGCGGAGAUGAGGUGCUUGCACCUUAUCUUAGCGGCGGACGGGUGAGUAAUGCUUAGGAAUCUGCCUAUUAGUGGGGGACAACAUUCCGAAAGGAAUGCUAAUACCGCAUACGUCCUACGGGAGAAAGCAGGGGAUCUUCGGACCUUGCGCUAAUAGAUGAGCCUAAGUCGGAUUAGCUAGUUGGUGGGGUAAAGGCCUACCAAGGCGACGAUCUGUAGCGGGUCUGAGAGGCGGCUCCGCCACACUGGGCAGUGGAACCGGCCCAGUCUCCUACGGGAGACAGCACUGGGGAAGAUUGGACAAUGGGGGAAACCCUGAUCCAGCCAUGCCGCGUGUGUGAAGAAGGCCUUAUGGUUGUAAAUCACUUUAAGCGAGGAGGAGGCUACUGAGACUAAUACUCUUGGAUAGUGGACGUUACUCGCAGAAUAAGCACCGGCUAACUCUGUGCCAGCCGCCGCCGUAA